rnacentral:rRNA from 1 species
AUUGAACGCUGGCGGCAGGCCUAACACAUGCAAGUCGAGCGGAUGACGGGAGCUUGCUCCUUGAUUCAGCGGCGGGCGGGUGAGUAAUGCCUAGGAAUCUGCCUGGUAGUGGAGGACAACGUUUCGAAAGGAACGCUAAUACCGCAUACGUCCUACGGGAGAAAGCAGGGGACCUUCGGGCCUUGCGCUAUCAGAUGAGCCUAGGUCGGAUUAGCUAGUUGGUGGGGUAAUGGCUCACCAAGGCGACGAUCCGUAACUGGUCUGAGAGGAUGAUCAGUCACACUGGAACUGAGACACGGUCCAGACUCCUACGGGAGGCAGCAGUGGGGAAUAUUGGACAAUGGGCGAAAGCCUGAUCCAGCCAUGCCGCGUGUGUGAAGAAGGUCUUCGGAUUGUAAAGCACUUUAAGUUGGGAGGAAGGGCAGUAAGCUAAUACCUUGCUGUUUCGACGUUACCGACAGAAUAAGCACCGGCUAACUCUGUGCCAGCAGCCGCGGUAAUACAGAGGGUGCAAGCGUUAAUCGGAAUUACUGGGCGUAAAGCGCGCGUAGGUGGUUUGUUAAGUUGGAUGUGAAAGCCCCGGGCUCAACCUGGGAACUGCAUCCAAAACUGGCAAGCUAGAGUACGGUAGAGGGUGGUGGAAUUUCCUGUGUAGCGGUGAAAUGCGUAGAUAUAGGAAGGAACACCAGUGGCGAAGGCGACCACCUGGACUGAUACUGACACUGAGGUGCGAAAGCGUGGGGAGCAAA